GACUCCUACGGGAGGCAGCAGUGGGGAAUAUUGCACAAUGGGCGCAAGCCUGAUGCAGCCAUGCCGCGUGUGUGAAGAAGGCCUUCGGGUUGUAAAGCACUUUCUAGUCGUGAGGAAGGUAGUGUAGUUAAUAGCUGCAUUAUUUGACGUUAGCGACAGAAGAAGCACCGGCUAACUCCGUGCCAGCAGCCGCGGUAAUACGGAGGGUGCGAGCGUUAAUCGGAAUUACUGGGCGUAAAAGCGCAUGCAGGUGGUUUGUUAAGUCAGAUGUGAAAGCCCGGGGCUCAACCUCGGAAUAGCAUUUGAAACUGGCAGACUAGAGUACUGUAGAGGGGGGUAGAAUUUCAGGUGUAGCGGUGAAAUGCGUAGAGAUCUGAAGGAAUACC
rnacentral:rRNA from 1 species